AAAAGCACAGUGUUUGUCCAGUCUGGAAGUAUGUUGUCUUGUGUACGUUUCAGUCUCAUCAGUCCAUAUGAAGUUAAAAGCACAGUGUUUGUCCUGUCAGGAGUUUUGAGGUAUAAUGUGUAUCUGCCAGUCUUUACAACACUGCAAAGUUAUUUGUUUCGCUUUCUAACCUUUACUUUCAUCUAUCAUUGCAGGUGAACCAGCCACUGCAGGAGAAGUGACUACAUGUACCAGCAACUACCAACAGAAACCAACAGAAACCAACAUACACGUAGGAAGUUCUCCAGUGCAGCUCUGCAAUCCUCACACAAGGCCGAGGAGGCAAUUUGUAUGGAGAUGAAGAUUUGAACCUGAAUGGGAGCACCUGCAGCAGCUGGAGAGGGGAGAGAACAUGACAAUUUGAGGCCAUCAGCAGAUAAACAAUGUAUCUUGUACCAAUACAACCUAAACUAUUGAGUAAUUGAGAUGAUGCCUACUGUGCUUAGUGACACUAUGAGCAUGACACUAAAUGAAGCUUCAAGUAUUUAGACUGGAAAAAAACAUUAUGACCAGUUCUGCUUUUCUCAUAAGGAAGACAAUUUGUUAUAUUUCUUGGCCAAUGUAUGUAUGAAGUAGCACAUUCACUGUAUCUGAUCUGAUGUCUUAGUGACAUAGAUAUCCAUUAAUCUUGUCCCAGGGCCAUCUUUGCAGUCGGCAAACAAUCAUCAUCGAGAAAAGGGUUUUAUGAGAAUUGUGUAAUUUAGUAAAGAUGUUCUUAUACUUCAGCACCAAUUCUGCCCUUUAUAUAAGUAGUACUUGUAUGAUGUUUCUACUUUAUGUAGAUGAAUGUAUUAUGGAUUGUAUCUAUGAAAGACUGGGCACGAAAUACUUUUUUCCAAACUUGCACUGGUGCAGGCAGCCGCAGACAUUAUCUGCACAAAUAUACCUGCAUCUCGUAGUACUAAAAUCUGUCAAGAAACCACUGCAUUAAUUCCAACAGUCAAUGCAGCUGGUAAAAAUCUGCAAUGCACCGACAUCAUAGUACAUUGAUAUAAAAACCUAGUAAGGGCAAACAAUGUGUCCCUGGAUCUUUUUCUGAAACAGUUGAGCACCAACUGCUACAAUGCCCCCUGUAUUCUGCCCAAUGCAGAGAACUAAUGUCCACUGUUGAAUGCCUCAUACAGCAAUGUCUUACCGUUUCUUUACUACUCCAAUAGGGGGGUACCAGUACAGAAGUUCAGAUCCUGUUCAGGUCCAGAGGAUCAGGUCCAGGUCUGGACCUGAACCUGGACCUGAUUCAGUGAAUACUCAAAACAAUGGUCCAUUUGUCUGUAAAGAAAUCUAUUUUGCGGUGUAUUCGACUCCCACUGGCGUCUUAAAAUCCUACAAGGCUAACUGCCUCUGUAUGAUUGACUGUAAAACCUGGUAGAAAUGACUAUGUACUCCACUGUACUUCGCUCGUUAUUUUCUUCGACCGGUCAGUCCCAAAAGGUGUGAAUACCUGAUCAUAUGAUCUGUUCAUUUUCCAAUAGGUCCAACACCUGGUCCACCGAAUUUUUUUAGGGUCCGCUCUUUCCGGACGGGUCCAAUAAGAAAAGCCAGUUUUGUACCGGUACACUGUAUCAGUACCCACCCCUAGGCUCCAGGGUGUAUGUGACCUUGUCAUCAAUAGGCAACUUUCCAAUGCACUUCAAGAGUAAGACAUCUACUAAACGAUUACUUCCAGCCGUGCAUCUGUUUAGUUGUAAACUCUUAUCUUAUCAUGCACACAUUCCAGCUGCAAUUGUUUUUAAGUGUAUCAACUAUUUUAUCUUACUUGAUAUUUGUUUGUUUUUAUUGUAUGUGUAUGUGGUUACGAUAUAAGUCUACUGCCUAGUGUCCACAUUGUAUCAUUAUUGUCGCAAUUUGAAUAAAGUCAAAGUAAAACACAAUACAUGGACCAGUGCAGGUUAGGUGCAGGUGGGCAUCAGAAAUUCAGAAUUACCUGCACAUCUGGAAUGUUUCUUGCACUAAGCUGCAUAUGCAGGUGGUAUUUCGAGCCCUGAAAGAGCUAAUGUUUCUGGUUGAACUUUAGCACCUCUUUUUCACUAUAUUUGUUUAAUGUGGUUUUUAAAUAAAGUCAAGGUACUUGUUAUUAAUUUUUUUUUGUUUAACAAAUUUGUCAGUUAAUAAGUUUGUACAUUCCUCGUUAAGUUACACAUGUAAAAAGCUUUAUAGCAAGGUUGAUAUCGUCUGUUGUAACGUGUUUUCUGACAAAGAUGUUUCCAAUGAAUUUAUUAAAUAGAGUAGUUUUGAUUA